UGUUGGUUAUAGGGUGGAUUAAAUGUGACCAUUUAUCUUCUCUUAUAUAUACUAAUGUACCAUCUUUUCUUAUUAAAUUGCCCGGUUGUAAUCAUAAUUAGAGAUUAAUGUUAAAAUAGAAGGUUGACUGUUCAUAAUAGCUAACAAUCAGUUCUUUCACUGCACCUAGCUCCCUCUCUCAUUUUUUGUCACCGCUUCAAAUUCUUUUUCCGCAACGAGCUUCCCAUUCUUUCUUCUUUUUUUAUUUAUUCCGCCAAUUCAAUUCUUCUUCCAAAUGAAAAUCAUUUCCAACCUUACAACUUCUGUUCAAAAUAUUAACAUAACUCUCACUUCCUUUUUCUAUAAUAAAACUAUGUCCGAAGCCAUUGUAGACAAUCAUAUUUCUUGAGAAGAAACGCCCCGGCGUCAACCCUAUUUGAAAGCUGUGAUAAGGUAAUUGACCACCUCCUAUUUCAUUUGAUUUUAAAUUUUUUGUUGUUCUUUAGAUAUGUUUUGAUUCGAUUGUAAUAAUUUAGUUUUCUUAAACACUUUAAGUUUCAAUUACUCACAAUUUGAUUUGUAUGAUGAUUGAAAUUUUAAUGUGAAUCCAACAUUUUUACUUAAUUGAGAUUCUCUAUUGUUUGGUGCAUGCUUCCGACUUUUCUCUCUCAAAGAGCAUUCAAAAGGUCAGUUCUUUUUCGCUCGUUCCAUUUCCAUUCCUCUUCUUGCUGAAAUUCUUUUUGCUACAGUUUCAUUGUUGACUGCGAUUCAUUUCUUGAUAGUAGCAAGUGUUGAACCUAUGUUGAAGUUGCCUUACACGGGUGGAAAUAACACCUCUAGACCAAGUAUAACACAAGAUUACAUUGAAAAAGCUGUCAUCUUGUCAUGAUUCAGUUGAUUUGUAGUGCCUACAGUGGAGUGAGGUUUUGAUUUUUUGCCUAAUGUAUUUUCUUUCUUCACUUUUUAGGUGAAAUGAAGAUUUUUUUUCAUGGAGUAUAAAUGUAUUAUUAUUGGUUUCAAGUUUAUUAUAUGAACACCAAGGGGAGAAAUGUUUAGGGAUCUAUGUUUUUCCUCGAGUAUAAAUGUACUAUUGUUGGCUUUCAAGUGUAUUAUUUAGCUUUCAAGGUGGAUUUUUUUUUCAUGUUAAGUUUCUUGGUAAUGUGAUAGUACUUUAAUUGACUAGGACAUAUUUGUACAUUUAUUGAACAUUAUUGAUAUUUCCUAUAAAUAGGGUCACGGUAGGGAUUCAAGUGGUAAUAUUUAUAUUUGGGAGAGACUAUCGUUAACGCUACUGGCUGAAAUGGAUGGCCUAGAGCAGACAACAGUAAACCUCAUCUCAUUUAUUUUCUUAAUUAGGAAGCAAGAAAAUUGUUAAUUAUGAACUGUCUUUGACCAAUUUUGUUCUAAAGACCCCGUUGAUAUGUAGGGAAUUAUUGUAUUGGUUGCUGCACAUCAUCCAUAGGCAUUCAAGCAUCCUAGACACUUUGAUUUGGUGUUGUACGCUGCCACCACCGGACAAAGAAGAACGUUGUGAAAUUCUAUCCACAUAAAGAAAAUGAGUUUGGGGGAAGAUGUGGAGCUUAUGCAAGUAGCAAAGUGCAUCGAACUCUUCACAAGUGCAGAUCGAGAAGGUUUAGAUAUCUGUAAUUCUCAAGCAAGAUGUUGAAUGAUAUUGAAGUAUCAUCAAUCACAAAUUGCUAGCACUCCUCCACGACCUCUUGGUUCUGGAGCAGGACCUAGACCUGGGUUGGCACCAGCUCUUGGUAAUGUCAAAAGACAAUGUGGUAGUUGAUUUUGCUAACUGUUCAUUUGGGAGUCUUCUGUUAAGUUUGUUACAUCUAUUUAUGUCGUAGAAUACAUCUUGUUUCACUUUUUUUAUUAAAAAAAAUUCCUUUUUCA